UACGUAGGGGGCAAGCGUUGUCCGGAUCUAUUGGGCGUAAAGAGCGUGUAGGCGGUUAUGCAGGUCCGCUGUGAAAACUGGAGGCUUAACCUCCAGACGUCGGUGGAAACCGUAUGACUAGAGUCCGGAAGAGGAGAGUGGAAUUCCUGGUGUAGCGGUGAAAUGCGCAGAUAUCAGGAAGAACACCCGUGGCGAAGGCGGCUCUCUGGGACGGUACUGACGCUGAGACGCGAAAGCGUGGGGAGCGAACAGG
rnacentral:rRNA from 1 species